rnacentral:rRNA from 1 species
CCUACGUGUGGCAGCAGUGGGGAAUAUUGGACAAUGGGCGAAAGCCUGAUCCAGCCAUGCCGCGUGUGUGAAGAAGGCCUUCGGGUUGUAAAGCACUUUCAGUGGGGAAGAAAGCCUUGGGGCUAAUACCCUCGAGGAAGGACAUCACCCACAGAAGAAGCACCGGCUAACUCCGUGCCAGCAGCCGCGGUAAUACGGAGGGUGCGAGCGCUAAUCGGAAUUACUGGGCGUAAAGCGCGCGUAGGCGGUCUGAUAAGCCGGUUGUGAAAGCCCCGGGCUCAACCUGGGAACGGCAUCCGGAACUGUCAGGCUAGAGUGCAGGAGAGGAAGGUAGAAUUCCCGGUGUAGCGGUGAAAUGCGUAGAGAUCGGGAGGAAUACCAGUGGCGAAGGCGGCCUUCUGGACUGACACUGACGCUGAGGUGCGAAAGCGUGGGUAGCAAACAGGAUUAGAUACCCCGGUAGUC